AAAAAAAAAAAAAAAGAAGAGGAAGAAAAGCGAGUCUAAAAAGGAAACAACUAAAUGAGAAAUCUGAUUAUACAAUCAUAAAUAAUCAUAAUGGAUGAGAAAAGUGAAAAGCAGUUAAAACACUUAUUUGAUCAGAGGAACUUUACGAGGAGGCCAGAAAGUAGGGUGAGUUUAAUUUUCUUAUAUAUUGUUUUCUCUAUUUUCUAAAAAUUUCUAUGGUGACUAUGGCUUUUAUAAAAUAAACAGCUUUCCUCCAAGGAUUUGUACAAUAGAGAAAGGGAUGGCAAGUAAUUGAGAAGAAUGUUUAGAAGCUAGGAUAAUUCUUUUAAAAGUAGUAUCGCUUGGACUAAAUAUCUGCUGGUGAUGAGGCAUGGAGGAAAAAAUGCUAAAGAUAACAAAAGUUAUUUUGGUUACAGUUCAGUGCAAGAACAUGAACAGGAAGAGGGAUGCACAGUGAUCAUGGAUGAUGCAAAGGAAUUGGAACCUCUGAACUUCUGUUUUGCUUCCAUCUAGAAAAAUGGAGUUCAAUCAGUACAAAGUAAAACAUACACAAUUAAGAAGUCAUUGAAAUGGAUGAGAAUUUAUUGAGAGCCCUUGACUUUUCUAAAUGAGUUUAAAGAAUUUUAGAGAGAUAUGCUCUUUAAAUUAUUGGAAUUGGUAAUCUAAAUAGUAAAAGAUGAAAGAGAAUGUAUCCAGGAAACUCCGUAUGAGUUGAUACUUGGCAAAGUCUUAAAUAAAUAUGGAAGAUUUGUUAGCACCUAAAAAAGAAAGCUCCAGUCACUGGAAACUGGCUUGCAUUUAUUGAAUCAACUUACAUCAAAUUACUCUAAUUUGUGAAAUAUUUAGAAGGGCUCUAGGGUUAAGAAAUUUUGGCAGUCUCUCAAAUUCAUAGAAACAGUGUACAGUUGACCCUUGCACAACACAGGUUUGAAUUAUAUGGGUCCACUUUGAAACAAUUGGAAAAACUCAAAGAUGAACCAUAUAGCCUAGAAAUAUUGAAAAAAAUUAGGUAAAAGGUAUGCCAUGAAUGCACAAAAUAUAUGUAGAUAUUAAUCUAUUCUAUCAUUACUACCACGAAAUAUACACAAAUCUAUUAUAAAAAGUUAACAUUUAUCAAAGCUAACACAAUUACAGACCAUGCAUGACACCACUUACAGUUGAGAGAAAUUUAAACAAAUAUAAAGAUGCAGUGUUAAGUCAUAACUGCAUAAAAUUAACUGCAGUACAUACCGUACUACUGUAAUAAUUUUGUAGCCACUUCCUCUUGCUAUUACAGUGAGCUCAGGUGUUGUAAGUAUCUGCCUAGAAUGCCACAAAUUGCAUAUUGCAGUAAAAAUGAUCUCUCAUGGUUCUCAAGUAUUUUGAGUAUUUUUCAUUGUGUUUAGUGCAACACUGUAAACUUUGAAUAACACCAUAGGACCCAUGCAAAGUACCAUGAGUGAUAUUGGAAGUGCUCUCAAGAAGCAGAGAAAAGUCAUGACUGAUGACAUUACAAGAAAAAGUUGAAUUGCUUGAUAUGAACUGUGGGUUGAGGUCUGCAGCUGUGGUUGCUCACCACUUCAGACAGAUGGGGAUCUUGCGAAUUUACCAUAUUGAUAAAUACAGUACAAGACUAUAAUGUAUUUUCUCUUCUUUAUGAUUUUCUUAAUAACAUUUUCUUUUACGUAACUUACUUUAUUAUAAGUAUAAUCUUUUAUGUAGCAUAUAAUACAUGUAAAAUGGAAAAUAUGUGUAAAUUGACUGUGUAUGUUAUUGGUCAACAGACUGUGAGUUAAGUUUUUGAGGAGUCAAAAGUUACAUGCAGAUUUUCAACUCCAUGGAGGUCAGUACCCCCAACUUCCAUGUUGUUCAAGGGCUAACCGAAGUUUAUUUCAUCAAGAGUUUAAAAAUGGCCCUUCUGCGCAGUCACGCCGAGCCAGCGCCUGGGCCUGGAACAGGGCCGUAGUCCCCCAGCUUCACCCACCACCUCUCUACCAUGGACCCCCGCAAAGUGAACGAGCUUCGGGCCUUUGUGAAAAUGUGUAAGCAGGAUCCGAGCGUUCUGCACACCGAGGAAAUGCGCUUCCUGAGAGAGUGGGUGGAGAGCAUGGGGAGUAAAGUACCACCUGCUACUCAGAAAGCUAAAUCAGAAGAAAAUACCAAGGAAGAAAAACCUGAUAGUAAGAAGGUGGAGGAAGACUUAAAGGCAGACGACCCAUCAAGUGAGGAAAGUGAUCUAGAAAUUGAUAAAGAAGGUGUGAUUGAACCAGACACUGAUUCUCCUCAAGAAAUGGGAGAUGAAAAUGCAGAGAUAACGGAGGAGAUGAUGGAUCAGGCAAAUGAUAAAAAAGUGGCUGCUAUUGAAGCCCUAAAUGAUGGUGAACUCCAGAAAGCCAUCGACUUAUUCACAGAUGCCAUCAAGCUGAAUCCUCGCUUGGCCAUUUUGUAUGCCAAGAGGGCCAGUGUCUUCGUCAAAUUACAGAAGCCAAAUGCUGCUAUCCGAGACUGUGACAGAGCCAUUGAGAUAAAUCCUGAUUCAGCUCAGCCUUACAAGUGGCGAGGGAAAGCACACAGAUUUCUAGGCCACUGGGAAGAAGCAGCCCAUGAUCUUGCCCUUGCCUGUAAACUGGAUUAUGAUGAAGAUGCUAGUGCAAUGCUGAAAGAAGUUCAACCUAGGGCACAGAAAAUUGCAGAACAUCGGAGAAAGUAUGAGCGAAAACGUGAAGAGCGAGAUCAAAGAAAGAAUAGAACGAGUUAAGAAGGCUCGAGAAGGGCAUGAGAGAGCCCAGAGGGAGGAAGAAGCCAGACGACAGUCAGGAGCUCAGUAUGGCUCUUUUCCAGGUGGCUUUCCUGGUAGUUUUCCCGGAGGAAUGCUUGGAAUGGGAGGGGCCAUGCCUGGAAUGGCUGGAAUGCCUGGACUCAAUGAAAUUCUUAGUGAUCCAGAGAUUCUUGCAGCCAUGCAGGAUCCAGAAGUUAUGGUGGCCUUCCAGGAUGUGGCUCAGAACCCAGCAAAUAUGUUAAAAUACCAGAGCAACCCAAAGGUUAUGAAUCUCAUCAGUAAAUUGUCAGCCAAAUUUGGAGGUCAAGCGUAAUGUCCUUCUGAUAAAUGAAGCCCUUGCUGAAGGAAAAGCAACCUAGAUCACCUUAUGGAUGUCGCAGUAAUACAAACCAGUGUACCUCUGACCUUCUCAUCAAGAGAGCUGGGGUGCUUUGAAGAUAAUCCCUACCCCUCUCCCCCAAAUUCAGCUGAAGCAUUUUACAGUGGUUUGCCAUUAGGGUAUUCAUUCAGAUAAUGUUUUCCUACUAGGAAUUACAAACUUUAAACACUUUUUAAAUAUUCAAAAUAUUUAAAACAAAUUUAAAGGGUCUGUUAAUUCUUAUAUUUUUCUUUACUAAUCAUUUUGGAUUUUUUUUCUUUGAAUUGGGCAGGGAAGAUAUGUAUGGAAGAUUAUUGCUCUAAUUUGAGUGAAAUAAAAGUUAUUAGUGCGAGGCAAACAUAA